AUGAUUUCAUUGGAAACGCAGUUAGACUAUUACAAAACGUUGAAGAAAGUUUUUUUAAUAUCUGUAUAUGAAUCGUCACAUUUUGCACUUUAUGCACGAAUGUUUGCAAUUAAAAAAAUGAAUAGUCAUGCUUGGCAGUUAAAUAGCAAUCAUGGUCAGCUUAAUGCGACAAAUUUACCAUAUAACUAAUUGUAAUUUGCAAAUCCCGUAUGAUGCCUUAAGAUUAUAGUAGGUACUUUAUAUGCAAAGCAGAGGAUUCAUGUUAAUUUUCAGUAAGUGUUUAAAGAAGUAAUUUUUAUAUUCGUUUUGGCAAAUAAAAGUUAUUAUUUUGUAUACUACGCUAUUUAGCGCUAGAAUAUUUUAUAGUCAUACGAAAAUUUAAAAACACCAUUUAGAAUAGAAACAAAUUCUUUCAAACACAAUGAAUAAAAUUGCGGUAAAAAUUUCUUAUAUGAUAAAUGAUUUUUCCAUUUUUUCCAUUAUGUAUUACGAAACGAUAUAUGUCAACGAGUUUAAUAUGUAUACGGGUUUUCGCACGAAUAUCGUGCAUCAGCUUCCUGGUUACGCAAAUUAUAUAUCGAUAUCAGAAACAGCCAUUUAUCUUAGUACAUGGAAAAGGAAGAUUGCAACUAUAAACACGAAAACCUGUUCAUGAAUAUAACGUAUCGCGUGUCACUUUAUCUGUGAGAUUCCUUAUUUGUGAACAGCGUACAGAAACUGGGUAAGCCAUGAAUCAUUGGAUCAAGCAAGAAAUAUCGAAAUCGGAUAUUGGAUAUUUAUAUUAAGCAUAAUGUAUGGUUAAUGUAUCUCGAGAGACAAAAGAGCGACGUUACGGUAAAAAGAUCAUGGGAUGACAAGCGUUACACCUUUUAACGGUGCCACAGUUCGUUCUAGCCGCUAAGGAACAACGAAACGGUGGUUCCAAAACGGUACAGCGUAAAGCCUAAAUCAAACCGAGAGCCGAGCAAAUCCAAAGAGGAACGGCGAAUAUAAAAUAUCGGAGAAAGAUACAGCAAGAGUCGGAAUUGCUGGUACGAGUGUGCCAGGCGUUGGAGUUCGCGUGACUUGGUGGCGUAACCAAGAUAUAUGAGCGCUUUUCCCCAAAAAAGUGUUAAGGAAUUAUGCUUCGCAGAGUAAAUGAGAUGUGUCUGCGCCGAGACAUAGAUCACGGGAACGCUAUCCAUUCUCACCACCGUGGAAAUAAAUACGAUCUUCUUGGCGAAAGAGACUGCUGAGCAACGCGUUGGAGAAAGAAGACGAAGAGAAGGAAUAGGUGGUAGAGGGGCGAGAGGAAAAGGUGACGGCAGUAGGAACGGAAGAAGAAGAUGCUGAGAAGUGAGGGUCGGAAAGAGAUAGGAAAAUCGUCUCCUAGCGGCCCGCAUCCCGCAGCACAUCUUUCUACCCGACACACGGGGGAUCCAACGUAGCCAUUUCUCUGGCCUGUUAUACGCCGCCUAUAUACGUAUCUACUACCCCCGAGACGAUGAUACGCUGCGAUUUACUCAGCCGAGUUCGUCUACCUAGCUACCGGGAAACCGAGAAAUUGAUGGCACUUCGAAGGGAUUCGCUGCAUCCUACCGUAUAAGUAUGCCGAAAGUGUCUGCACUUGACUUCUUGACAGUCAAUGCUUGCCUUUCGGUUCAUAGAGGACAUCCAUUUUCUAUUUUGAGCAACAUCACAAUAAUGCGUCCAACGAUAAAUAUGUUGUACUACUACGGAUCAUUCUCCUUCAGACUUCCUUGGGAAUUCUGCCAGAGAUUUGGUAAAGCUCUUUUCACGCCCUGUUGCAGCGAUGGUGGUAUGUAUUUCGCGAUCUCUCACUGAUUUACUCUGCCAUGUCUGC